UCGGGGGGGCUACGGCCCCGAAGGAUGUAGGCCAGUUGAAUUGCAGCCUGUUGUGCGCAAUGCCACAGUACCAAUUCACAAUGACUGGCCGUCAUCAUGUCUAUUUGUAACCCUUGUGUACUAGUACCACUGUUUCCUCAGCAAGUUCGCUUGCUAAUGGGGACCCUAUUCAACCUUUUUUUAUAUUGUAGUAACCGUAUGCAAACAAUAAUCA
rnacentral:misc_RNA from 1 species